GUCGAGGGGCAGCAUGGAAGUUUGCUUGCAAACUUUUGAUGGCGACCGGCGCACGGGUGAGUAACACGUAUCCAACCUGCCUCAUACUCGGGGAUAGCCUUUCGAAAGAAAGAUUAAUACCCGAUGUCAUAGUCCUACCGCAUGAUGGGAUUAUUAAAGAAUUUCGGUAUGGGAUGGGGAUGCGUUCCAUUAGUUAGUUGGCGGGGUGACGGCCCACCAAGACAACGAUGGAUAGGGGUUCUGAGAGGAAGGUCCCCCACAUUGGAACUGAGACACGGUCCAAACUCCUACGGGAGGCAGCAGUGAGGAAUAUUGGUCAAUGGGCGCGAGCCUGAACCAGCCAAGUCGCGUGAGGGAAGACGGUCCUAUGGAUUGUAAACCUCUUUUGUCGGGGAGCAAAAGACGCCACGUGUGGCGUUCCGAGAGUACCCGAAGAAAAAGCAUCGGCUAACUCCGUGCCAGCAGCCGCGGUAAUACGGAGGAUGCGAGCGUUAUCCGGAUUUAUUGGGUUUAAAGGGUGCGCAGGCGGAAGAUCAAGUCAGCGGUAAAAUUGAGAGGCUCAACCUCUUCGAGCCGUUGAAACUGGUUUUCUUGAGUGAGCGAGAAGUAUGCGGAAUGCGUGGUGUAGCGGUGAAAUGCAUAGAUAUCACGCAGAACUCCGAUUGCGAAGGCAGCAUACCGGCGCUCAACUGACGCUCAUGCACGAAAGUGUGGGUAUCGAACAGGAUUAGAUACCCUGGUAGUCCACGCUGUAAACGAUGAUGACUAGCCGUCGGCGAUACAGUGUCGGUGGUCAAGCGAAAGCGAUAAGUCAUCCACCUGGGGAGUACGGCCGCAAGGCUGAAACUCAA
rnacentral:rRNA from 1 species